UACGUAGGGGGGAAGCGUUGUCCGGGUUUAUUGGGCGUAAAGAGCGUGUAGGCGGCUUUACAGGUCCGUUGUGAAAACUCGAGGCUCAACCUCGAGACGCCGGUGGAAACCGUAAGGCUAGAGUCCGGAAGAGGAGAGUGGAAUUCCUGGUGUAGCGGUGAAAUGCGCAGAUAUCAGGAAGAACACCAACGGCGAAGGCAGCUCGGUAGGACGGUACUGACGCUGAGACGCGAAAGCGUGGGAGCGAACAGG
rnacentral:rRNA from 1 species